AGUGAACGCUGGCGGUAGGCCUAACACAUGCAAGUCGAACGGCAGCACAGUAAGAGCUUGCUCUUACGGGUGGCGAGUGGCGGACGGGUGAGGAAUACAUCGGAAUCUACUUUUUCGUGGGGGAUAACGUAGGGAAACUUACGCUAAUACCGCAUACGACCUACGGGUGAAAGCAGGGGAUCUUCGGACCUUGCGCGAUUGAAUGAGCCGAUGUCGGAUUAGCUAGUUGGCGGGGUAAAGGCCCACCAAGGCGACGAUCCGUAGCUGGUCUGAGAGGAUGAUCAGCCACACUGGAACUGAGAAACGGUCCAGACUCCUACGGGAGGCAGCAGUGGGGAAUAUUGGACAAUGGGCGCAAGCCUGAUCCAGCCAUACCGCGUGGGAGAAGAAGGCCUUCGGGUUGUAAAGCCCUUUUGUUGGGAAAGAAAAGCAGCAGGUUAAUACCCCGCUGUUCUGACGGUACCCAAAGAACAAGCACCGGCUAACUUCGUG
rnacentral:rRNA from 1 species